rnacentral:lncRNA from 1 species
AGACCUGGAAAGAGACUCUUGCGAGGAUAUUGACGUUAAAAGAGCGAGGAUGUGGCGCACUUCCGAAAGCAAGAUCGGUUCUGGCUAAAAAGGACAGAACUUGCAACUUUUGUGGGAGUGUGGAUCGCGUCGUCCCGACGUGAAUCCGAUGCGUGAAACCAUGACUCGAAGCCAAGCGGAAACAUCCAUUGUAGCCCAUCGCAACGUCCAUCGUGCCUCGAGAGAAAUCUCCCCGUCCGGCCUGAACCAGGUGUAAGAGAGCUUGAAUCCCGUGCCGGAUUUUCACUUACUCAUAUCUCUUCGAACUUGUGUCGAUUCCCGACGGCUAGGCCCCUCAAAGGUGAUCCCCGGUGGAGGACACUUACCCAUGUAUUGCUUAAACGAUUUCUACGUCGCUCCCCAUGAUGUACGGAUGUUACAAACUCGCGCUACUGGAACAUCGAUGUUCUCAUCGGGGGCUGCGACUGUAUCUUCGAAUUACACCGAGCACCUAGAAUAAGUCUUGCACUCUCAAUUGAUCACACCACUUCCAAUGCCA